AGAGAGAGAGAGAGAGAGAGAGAGAGAGAGAGAGGUCAAAAACUAAAAUAUCUAAUGUUUAUUUUCUUUUUCUCUCACCCAAUCUUUAUCUAUCUCCCUAUUCCCUCCCUUUCUUUAUCUCAUGAGUAUGCCCGCGUGGGAGAGGGUAUCGCUGGGUAUAUACUCCAGAAAAUCGCUCCGUUUAACACACAUUCAGGACUGUUUAAUCUGUCUUUUCUUCGCUAAACAGUACAAACAAUGAGCCACCUUGUCAUGUAUUAAUUCGCCUAUAUCGAUAUUUAAACCCAAUACAAAAGCUUACUUAAUCGGGUUGCAAGAUAGCCUAAUAUAUCCCUUCCGUAAAUCGCAAUGUUCAAGGCAAUUCUCGACAUCUAGAACUCCUUAGCCUGUCUUCCCUUCCUUAAACAAAAGAAAUAGUAAUAAUGAGUCACCUUGUCAUGUAUUAAUUCGCCUAUAUCGAUACUUAAACCCAAUACAAAAGCUUACUUAAUCGGGUUGCAGGAUAGCCUAAUAUAUCCCUUCCGUCAAAUCUCUAUGUUCUAGGUAAUUCUCAGUAUCUAGAACGCUUUACCCUGUCUUGUCUUCCCUAAACAAAAGAAACAGUAAUAAUAAACCACCUUGUCAUGUAUUAAUUCGCCUAUAUCGAUAUUUAAACCCAAUACAAAAGGUUACUUAAUCGGGUUGCAAGAUAGACUAAUAUAUCCCUUCCGUAAAUCUCAAUGUUCUAGGUAAUUCUUGGCAUCUAGAACGCUUUACCCUGUCUUGUCUUCCCUAAACAAAAGAAAUAGUAAUAAUAAACUCCCUUGUCAUGUAUUAAUUCGCCUAUAUCGAUACUUAAACCCAAUACAAGAGGUUACUUAAUCGGGUUGCAGGAUAGCCUAAUAUAUCCCUUCCGUCAAAUCUCAAUGUUCUAGGUAAUUCUCAGCAUCUAGAACGCUUUGCCCUGUCUUGUCUUCCCUAAACAUAAGAAAUAAUAAUAAUAAACUCCCCUGUCAUGUAUUAAUUCGCCUAUAUCGACACUUAAACCCAAUACAAAAGGUUACUUAAUCGUGUUGCAGGAUAGCCUAAUAUAUCCCUUCCGUAAAUCGCAAUGUUCUAGGUAAUUCUCGACAUCUAGAACUCCUUAGCCUGUCUUGUCUUCCCUAUACAUAAGAAAUAGUAAUAAUAAACUCCCUUGUCAUGUAUUAAUUCGCCUAUAUCGAUACUUAAACCCAAUACAAAAGUUUACUUAAUCGGGUUGCAAGAUAGCCUAAUAUAUCCCUUCCGUCAAAUCUCAAUGUUCUAGGUAAUUCUCAGCAUCUAGAACGCUUUACCCUGUCUUGUCUUCCCUAAACAAAAGAAAUAGUAAUAAUAAACCACCUUGUCAUGUAUUAAUUCGCCUAUAUCGAUACUUAAACCCAAUACAAAAAGUUACUUAAUCGGGUUGCAAGAUAGCCUAAUAUAUCCCUUCCGUCAAAUCUCUAGGUAAUUCUCAGCAUCUAGAACGCUUUCCCCUGUCUUGUCUUCCCUAAACAUAAGAAAUAGUAAUAAUAAACCACCUUGUCAUGUAUUAAUUCGCCUAUAUCGAUAUUUAAACCCAAUACAAAAGGUUACUUAAUCGGGUUGCAAGAUAGCUUAAUAUAUCCCUUCCGUCAAAUCUCUAUAUUCUAGGUAAUUCUCAGCAUCUAGAACUCCUUA